rnacentral:rRNA from 1 species
UACGUAGGGACCAAGCGUUGUUCGGAAUUACUGGGCGUAAAGGGCGCGUAGGCGGCCUAACAAGUCACUUGUGAAAUCUCCGGGCUUAACUCGGAACGGCCAAGUGAAACUGUCAAGCUAGAGUGCAGAAGGGGCAAUUGGAAUUCUUGGUGUAGCGGUGAAAUGCGUAGAUAUCAAGAGGAACACCUGAGGUGAAGACGGGUUGCUGGGCUGACACUGACGCUGAGGCGCGAAAGCCAGGGGAGCAAACGGG